GCACCCACAUUUUUAAUUGCGUCGCCUUAAACACCAUAAGGUCACUUUUUAUCACUCCAUAACUUUCAUAUAAUGUGAAUGAUUUUUAAACAAGAACAAGGUGUAGAGAAAUGCUUGGCUGCGGUCGAAUAGUCAAAUUUGCUUAGGAACCUUCCUAACUGAGUGAAAUGACCCGGAAGUAUUAUCGUAGCCGCCAUGAUAAGAGCUGUUCGAAUUCUCUAACUGUUAAGGAAAGGAGCUUCAAUGCUUCCUUUAGUAUCUCCUUUAGCAUAGGAUACACCGGACCAUCCUUUACGAAAGGAAAGGAGGUAAUGGCGUCCCACAAUUCCUUGCGGUAGCAGCAUAUAAGGCCGACCGGUCAUGAGAAGAAACGAACAAAAUGACUGACAAAUCCCGCAGAUCGUCGUGUAAGUUACUGAUGUGUUUUCAUCUUAAUUUAAUUAUAUGUUUAAUGUAUGAAUAUGAUGUUAUAAGAACUUGUCAUAAAUUUGUUGCAUCAGUUUGCAUUAGUUAUUUCCUCCUUUUGAACGUUAUGUGUCUCUGCCUUUACGAAUAUAAUUCAUUGAAAUAAUUGAACUUUAGUCACAGAUGCUGAAACCCUUGCCUUAAUAAAGGCAAGGGUUAAACUGGAGCAGCUCUUCAGUGGGAAGAGGAAUGCAGCGAAAUCAGGCUGGGAGUGGUGGCUGCGGCACAGGAUCCUCUUCUACAGCUGGCUCCAGGAUGUCCCCAGCUGUGACGCAAAUGUUGUGGAUAGAUGGACUGGAUUCCAUUAAGUGUAAUUGUGUUGGGCCCUUGUCACAUUAAACACAUUAGAUGUUUGCCACCUGUAUCAGCCAGAACAACUUCAAAGCACAAUCAAGUGCCAUUUCAUGGUGUUUAGUGAUAUGUAUGGUGGUUCGCAAAUGAAAGCAUACUUAUUUACAGACAUACUUGCAUAUACAUAUUGUAAUCCAGUUCUGUCAUAUUCUGUGUAGUCUAAAUUGUACACACUGGACCGUAAUACUAUUAUAUUCAUAGGCCAUCUUAUAAUUGGAUCAAAAUGAGGAAAUUAAUCUCAACAAUAUGGUUGACUUUUCCGGUUCAAUACGUUGAAAAUGAAGAAUAAUGACAUAGGAUCUCAAUUCAUCCAAUUUUAUUUUUAUUUUUUUUAAUUCUUAGCAAUUUUAUAGAUUGUGUAUAUGUGAAUAAGAUCUGACACAUAAUAAAGGUAUGCUUUCAAAGCAUAAUAACAUG